GCUGGCGGCAGGCCUAACUCAUGCAAGUCGAGCGGAAACGAUGGAAGCUUGCUUCCAGGCGUCGAGCGGCGGACGGGUGAGUAAUGCAUAGGAAUCUGCCCGGUAGUGGGGGAUAACUUGGGGAAACCCAAGCUAAUACCGCAUACGCCCUACGGGGGAAAGCAGGGGAUCUUCGGACCUUGCGCUAUCGGAUGAGCCUAUGUCGGAUUAGCUAGUUGGUGAGGUAAUGGCUCACCAAGGCCGCGAUCCGUAGCUGGUCUGAGAGGAUGAUCAGCCACAUCGGGACUGAGACACGGCCCGAACUCCUACGGGAGGCAGCAGUGGGGAAUAUUGGACAAUGGGCGAAAGCCUGAUCCAGCCAUGCCGCGUGUGUGAAGAAGGCCCUCGGGUUGUAAAGCACUUUCAGUGAGGAAGAACGCUUGUGGGUUAAUACCCUGCAAGGAAGACAUCACUCACAGAAGAAGCACCGGCUAACUCCGUGCCAGCAGCCGCGGUAAUACGGAGGGUGCGAGCGUUAAUCGGAAUUACUGGGCGUAAAGCGCGCGUAGGCGGCUUGAUAAGCCGGUUGUGAAAGCCCCGGGCUCAACCUGGGAACGGCAUCCGGAACUGUCAGGCUAGAGUGCAGGAGAGGAAGGUAGAAUUCCCGGUGUAGCGGUGAAAUGCGUAGAGAUCGGGAGGAAUACCAGUGGCGAAGGCGGCCUUNUGGACUGACACUGACGCUGAGGUGCGAAAGCGUGGGUAGCAAACAGGAUUAGAUACCCUGGUAGUCCACGCCGUAAACNAUGUCNACU
rnacentral:rRNA from 1 species